UCCCCGGGGAGGCGGGGUCCGGGCGACUUCCCCUUUCGCGGAGCGACGGCGGCCAGGGACGAUGCAUCAGAAGCUGCUGAAGAGCACACAUUACAUCGAGCUGGGCAGCUACCAGUACUGGCCAGUGCUGGUGCCCCGCGGCAUCCGCCUCUACACCUACGAACAGAUCCCAGUGUCCCUUAAGGACAACCCGUACAUCACCGACGGCUACCGGGCGUACCUGCCCUCCAGGCUGUGUAUCAAAAGUUUGUUUAUUUUAUCGAAUGAGACGGUAAACAUCUGGAGCCACUUGUUGGGCUUCUUCCUCUUCUUCACGCUGGGAAUAUAUGACAUGACAUCCGUGUUACCUUCGGCGAGUGCAUCCAGAGAAGAUUUCGUCAUCUGUUCUAUUUGUCUCUUCUGUUUCCAGGUCUGUAUGCUUUGCUCUGUAGGCUAUCAUCUCUUCUCCUGCCAUCGGUCAGAAAAAACCUGCCGAAGAUGGAUGGCGUUGGAUUAUGCAGGGAUUUCUAUCGGAAUACUAGGCUGCUAUGUCUCUGGAGUGUUUUAUGCUUUCUAUUGUAACAAUUACUGGCGCCAAGUGUACUUGAUCACAGUGCUUGCUAUGAUCCUGGCGGUGUUCUUUGCUCAGAUUCACCCCAAUUACCUUACGCAGCAGUGGCAGCGACUCCGCUCUGCCAUCUUCUGUUCUGUUUCGGGAUAUGGAGUGAUCCCUACUCUUCACUGGGUUUGGCUCAAUGGAGGAAUCGGUGCUCCUAUUGUACAGGACUUUGCACCCCGUGUAAUUGUGAUGUAUGUGAUUGCCCUUCUUGCUUUUCUAUUCUACAUUUCCAAAGUUCCGGAAAGGUACUUUCCAGGACAACUCAACUACCUCGGAUCAAGCCACCAAAUAUGGCACGUCCUUGCAGUAGUGAUGUUAUAUUGGUGGCACCAGUCCACCGUGUAUGUCAUGCAGUACAGACAUGCCAAGCCUUGUCCUGACUAUGUUUCACAUUUGUGAAUUCAGAAUCAGGAAUGAAGAUUCAGGGAUUAUCUGUCACAUCUUAUGGCAUCCUACCUGGACUAACCGAUUUGAAGAUUGUGAUUGACUGGCAUAGAGCUGUACACCUCUCCAUUUGCCAGGAGUGAAUGCCAAGAAUCCAUGAGAAGGAUCUACUGUUUAGAAGGAAAUGGAGCAGCACCAAAUGGAUCUAGUUCGACGGCCGGGGACUGUUGGGGCGGAUGUGAAGGGAUGCUGCGCACCACGAGCUCUGUGAAGGGCACGGCCCCGAAAUCGUCCCUUCUCAAGGCGUCGGCGCUGUGGAAGGCGUGUAGCGAGUUCUGCCGCGGCCGCGUCGGCAGGCCGGCGUGGUGGUCGGCGAGAAGGUCGCUCAGCCCAGGGUGUGAGGAGUGCCUCGCCAGGUCUGGAGGAUGGAAGGGCUUGGCCCCGAAGGGGUCCAGCGGACUUUCCUCAGGCUGCAGGAUAGGCCCUCGGUCUUUCCUGUCGGUCAGGGCAACGCUAAUGUUCUCCUUGGAGUCCGAGAUGGUCAAAAAUUCAUUGCUACUUUGAGAGUCUCGGCGGCCCACCUUUUUGUGCCUGCGAGCUCUCUCUGGGGUGCGGAAGGUGGGUUUCUGGGUCUUCUUUGUGCUGGUGGGUGUGCCGUGGUGCCGCUUCCCGUUACUUUUGGACAGGUCCUGUUUUGUUCGCCUCUGGCGAGAGGACAGCUUCUGUAAGUUCCGCUGUUUGACUUUCUGCUGCUGAUUCCCAGUUAUUUCCUCAAAGGGCACAAGCCCAAACACGUCCUCGUUGCUUUCACUUUUGCUUACUGGUGCCGGGAAGGGCUGAAAAGGAGUGGAGCCAAACAUAUCCACACUUUCGGGACAAGCAGGUAGAGCAUGGGCCUCUGGCCCCACCGCCGGGCAGUCCUCUGCACUCACCUUCUUGCUGAAGGGUGCCUUGGUGAACACAUCAAAUUCUUCUUGCUCGUGUCCUACGGGAGGAAACUGGGUCUUCUGGGAAAGGUUCGUUCCGUCCUCUCCUGGGGGAAGUUGUUGAUCACGCGUGGCAAAGAAGGGGACAGCGCCGAAGACAUCAAACUCCUGUUUGGGAGUCUCCACCCCACCGCUGGAAGGCAGCUGGGUUGGGGUGAGGAGUGUUCCACUGGGAUCUUGGAUUUGUCUACCACCAGACUUGUCUCUGUAGACAGGGCUCCGGGCACUGUACUUGGCUUUGGCCUGCUCAUAAUCAGAAUCAGAACUAUGCUUUUCUUCUUCCUCUUCCUCUUCAGAAUCCAUAAGGAGUGGUCUAUGGCCCAGCGUUUCCGGUUCAAUAUCAUCAUCAUUAAAAUCCCCUUGCUCUCCCUGAAGAACGUCUUCAUCCUCUUGCUCUUCCUCUUCACUGCUCUUUGGAGAAGGAGGAUCUGAUUCAAAGUCACUUUCAGAUUCAUCGUUCCCUUUGUGCACCGGACCUUGUACUGAUGAAUUCUCUGGCAUUUUCUUCCCAGUCCGGUUCUCCGCAGAAACUGGACUUGUCUUUACAUUCUUGAUAGGGUUGACAGUGCUGUGUUCUGGAGCCCUGGAUAAAUGCUCAGCUUUCUUUUCAGGAGAACCUGUGAGUUCAAAGAAAAAGUAUUGUAACAUUCCGUUGCACUUCAAAAAAACCACUUGAACCAUAAGGUAUUACAAAUCUCCCAUACCAGUCUGGGGACAAAUAAAACUUUUUUUUUUUUUGUCCCCAGGCUUGGGUAAUGCACAUGUCCCUCAACUAGAUGGUUAGGUCCUCGUUCAGAGAGACUAACUCAUCUCGGUCCCCUACACAGUGCCAACUCAACAAAGACUCCCAUUGACAGCUCAAUUUUAUUACAGCACCACAACUAGGAUUCUUAACAUAGUACAUAAGCAAGUUUUCUUCUCCAACCACAAAAAUACCAUUCCACGAAUAUGGUAAAAAUACCCUAUCUCAUGUCCAAGCAACCCUCGGCUUAUAUUUCAAGUCUAUCAUGACUCUUUCCAUAAAGAGAGAUCAAUAAGCUUAAGUAGCUCAUCUACUUGGUUUACUCCAAUUUUUAAAAACCAAUCAAUUCUUUCUUUAUAACGAGUGUCUAACAAGUUUGGUUAACAUGAGUGCGUUCAGUACCUAUGAACCAGACAUUGAACUAGGCUAUACCAAAGACAACUAUCUUCUCUAGAUAAUAGCUAUUCUUCAAACUAUUGUGUCUCUACUACUGACAUGACAUUAAAGGCAUGCAGCCUUAAAAAAAAAAAAGAGUAACCAUCAGCAUGUUACAACAGCUUUACAACUUCACUGAGUAGUAUCACUGUAUAGUAUAAUACAAAAAGAUGGUAUAUUACAUGAACAAAUACAGGCUCACAACAUGUGCAUAUACUGCAUUGCUUUUCCAGAGACUGAUUGAUUUGUAUUGAUCCAACCACGUAGUCUCAUCUCUUCCCUUCCUUUGACUAAGACCAAGUAUUUUCAAGGCAUUUAGCUGAGGCUGGGGUAUAAUCUGAAGGUGUGAAAACUACCUACUUUGGAAGGAAAGGGCAUUACUUUCCCUCCAUUAGCAUGGACACUAUAGCAUGUGAUACCUCUGAAUAUUUCUCUCUGAAAAUUCAGUCUGUUAUCAUCCUUCUUCAUUGUUGUUCCUUCUUGCCAGAUUUUAUCAGACUUUUCUUUCACUUCCGCCUUGAAGGAGCCCUGGUAGCACAAUGAGUUAAGGCCCAAACUGCUAAUUGUAAGGUCGGUGGUUCAAAUCCAGGAGUCACUCCUCAGAGAAAAUGUAUUCGAUGGCGUCGGGUAUUCACUGAUUGGUGAAUAAAACUAACAUGGUCUCUGCUUUAAGGAGUUUACAAACAAGGUGGAGACAGGUGUAAAAGAGUAAACACAAAUCCAGGCCAGUGCUCUGAAAUAAAAACACACACCAAGCCAUGAGGAAAGAAAGGAAGAAAGGGGAUGGGUAUGUCAACCUACUAAGGAGAGUCCAUGACCAAGGUGAAGCCUGAGCACCUUCAUGGAGCCAGCCAAGCAAAGGACAAGCAGAAGAUGGACUGCAGUCAAAGCAGCAGUGAGGAUGAAGGCCAAUUCCAGGAGGAGGCUGGCAGAUAGGAGGGGCUGAAAGCAGCCGGAGCAUUGUGAGCAAGGGAGUACAAGAACAAGAAAGGGCCAGACCACAGAGGUCCCUGAAAGCCAUCUAUGUCAUAGGAAACCAUUACAGGCUUUACAGAAGGAUGCCAUGAUCAAAUUGAUAGUUUUUAAAAGAUGCCGGGGGGGCACAAAAGUGAGGAUACCAGGCAAGGGAAGAGGGCUGUACAGUGAUUCAAGUUGAUGUGACAGUGGCCUAGAUGAGGAUGGUGGAAGAAAGAAUUGAGGAGUGCAAAAGAGAAUUAAUGAUUGCAUUUAAAUUAAAGAUGGAUGGUGGCAGGUACCAUUAACACCAAACCAAAAACCAAAUUCACUACCAUCAAGUCAAUGCCAACUCAUUGGAACCAC